AACUUUCUGAAUCCAUGUCGAGAUUUCGUCAGACACCAGCUUAUCAGGACUGAUGAGACUCCAGAGAUAAGUGAGCGUU
rfam:Schistosoma curassoni strain Dakar, Senegal genome assembly, scaffold: SCTD_scaffold0003099